CUACGGGGUGCUGCAGUGAGGAAUUUUGCGCAAUGGGGGAAACCCUGACGCAGCAACGCCGCGUGAGUGAUGAAGGCUUUCGGGUCGUAAAGCUCUGUCAAGUGGGUAGAACCUGCAGUAUGCUAAUAUCAUAUUGCACUGACGGUACCACUGAAGGAAGCACCGGCUAACUCCGUGCCAGCAGCCGCGGUAAUACGGGGGGUGCAAGCGUUAUUCGGAAUCAUUGGGCGUAAAGAGCACGUAGGCGGCCUGGUAAGUCAGAUGUGAAAGCCCUGGGCUUAACCCGGGAAGUGCAUUUGAGACUGUCAGGCUUGAGUAUGGGAGAGGGAAGUGGAAUGCCUGGUGUAGAGGUGAAAUUCGUAGAUAUCAGGAGGAACACCGGUGGCGAAGGCGACUUCCUGGACCAAUACUGACGCUGAGGUGCGAAGGCGUGGGGAGCAAACAGGAUUAGAUACCCGGGUAGUC
rnacentral:rRNA from 1 species